AUAUGAAAGCAAUGCAACGUGAUCCAGAGUUGUGACUCCGAAAUCGUCACUAGAAAGGUGGAAGAAGCCAGAGCCUCCUGUCUCACAGCAGUGUAGCUUCAGUUCUGGAAGGCUCAAGAUAUGAAGUCUCUAACAGUCCCUGUUCUUCCACAUUGCUGGAAUGAGAAAGGUAUUCAGCAACGACACAGAGAUUGUUUUCCUUUAUGCAUGCCAGAAAUGGUGUCAACCAGCAGAGGAGACUGAGGUGAUACCUGCAUCUUCUUCAGUUACUGGUGGCUUCAUGCAAGGUCUCUGA
rnacentral:lncRNA from 1 species